rnacentral:misc_RNA from 1 species
AGAAAUUAAGGCUUUAAUCAUUCUGAGAUGGAAAAGUAAAGGGUCCAACAGUAACUGUGAGCUGGAAAUUAAAGUCCAACAGUGUAGAAGUCCCAUUUUCAUGCAUAUCUGCCAAAAUAUUCUUUACUUUUCAAAGUUAUUUGUAGGAGAAAGUUGUAUUCUUUCAAUAUUGGUUAAAGACCAAAACAUAGCAAUAAACACAAUCAAACCCAG